rnacentral:rRNA from 1 species
UACAGAGGUCUCAAGCGUUGUUCGGAUUCAUUGGGCGUAAAGGGUGCGUAGGCGGCGCGGUAAGUCGGGUGUGAAAUCUCGGAGCUUAACUCCGAAACUGCAUUCGAUACUGCCGUGCUUGAGGACUGGAGAGGAGACUGGAAUUUACGGUGUAGCGGUGAAAUUCGUAGAUAUUCGCAAGAACACCAGUGGCGAAGGCGGCCCCCUGGCUCGUACCUGACGCUCAGCCACGAAAGCAUGGGGAGCGAACGGG